CCUACGGGGGGCAGCAGUUGGGAAUCUUGCACAAUGGGGGAAACCCUGAUGCAGCGACGCCGCGUGGAGGAAGAAGGGUCUAGGCUCGUAAACUCCUUUUUCAGGGAAAGACUUAGGACGGUACCCUGAGAAUAAGCUCCGGCUAACUACGUGCCAGCAGCCGCGGUAAGACGUAGGGAGCGAGCGUUGUCCGGAUUUACGGGGCGUAAAGAGCACGUAGGCGGUCUGUUAAGUGAGAAGUGACAUCUCCAGCGCUCCACGCGGCAACGGCUUUUCAUACUGGCAGCCUUGAGGGCUGCAGAGGCAAGUAGAAUUCCUGGUGUACCGGUGACAUGGGUUGAUAUCAGGAGGAAUACCAAUGGCGACGGCAGCUUGCUGGGCAUCAUCUGACGCUGAGGUGCGAAAGCGUGGGUCGCAAACAGGAUUAGAUACCCUAGUAGUC
rnacentral:rRNA from 1 species